GAUGAAGAACGCAGCGAAAUGCGAUAAGUAAUGUGAAUUGCAGAAUUCAGUGAAUCAUCGAAUCUUUGAACGCACAUUGCGCCCGCCAGUAUUCUGGCGGGCAUGCCUGUUCGAGCGUCAUUUCAACCAUCAAGCCCUGCUUGCGUUGGGGUCCUGCGGCUGCCCGCAGGCCCUGAAAACCAGUGGCGGGCUCGCUAGUCACACCGAGCGCAGUAAUACAUCUCGCUUUGGGCGUGCGGCGGGUUCUUGCCGUUAAACACCCCCUUUUUACCAAGGUUGACCUCGGAUCAGGUAGGAAUACCCGCCGAACUUAAGCAUAUCAAUAAGCGGAGGA
rnacentral:misc_RNA from 1 species